rnacentral:rRNA from 1 species
GCAGCCGCCACGGGAAUACAGAGGGUGCGAGCGUUAAUCGGAUUUACUGGGCGUAAAGCGUGCGUAGGCGGCUUCUUAAGUCGGAUGUGAAAUCCCUGAGCUUAACUUAGGAAUUGCAUUCGAUACUGGGAAGCUAGAGUAUGGGAGAGGAUGGUAGAAUUCCAGGUGUAGCGGUGAAAUGCGUAGAGAUCUGGAGGAAUACCGAUGGCGAAGGCAGCCAUCUGGCCUAAUACUGACGCUGAGGUACGAAAGCAUGGGGAGCAAACAGGAUUAGAUACCCGAGUAGUCCCUGUCUCUUAUAC